CGUAGGGUGCGAGCGUUAAUCGGAAUUACUGGGCGUAAAGCGUGCGCAGGCGGUUUGUUAAGAUAGGCGUGAAAUCCCCGGGCUCAACCUGGGAACUGCGCUUAUGACUGGCAAGCUAGAGUACGGCAGAGGGGGGUGGAAUUCCACGUGUAGCAGUGAAAUGCGUAGAGAUGUGGAGGAACACCAAUGGCGAAGGCAGCCCCCUGGACCUGUACUGACGCUCAUGCACGAAAGCGUGGGGAGCAAACAGGAUUAGAUACCCUGGUAGUCCACGCCCUAAACGAUGUCAACUGGUUGUUGGGUCUUCACUGACUCAGUAACGAAGCUAACGCGUGAAGUUGACCGCCUGGGGAGUACGGCCGCAAGGUUG
rnacentral:rRNA from 1 species